rnacentral:rRNA from 1 species
AGCGAGUCUUUCCUUCGGGACAGAGGAGACAGGUGGUGCAUGGUUGUCGUCAGCUCGUGUCGUGAGAUGUUGGGUUAAGUCCCGCAACGAGCGCAACCCCUAUCCUCAGUAGCCAGCAUUUAAGGUGGGCACUCUGGGGAGACUGCCAGGGAUAACCUGGAGGAAGGCGGGGAUGACGUCAAAUCAUCAUGCCCCUUAUGAUUUGGGCUACACACGUGCUACAAUGGCGUAAACAAAGGGAAGCGAACCCGCGAGGGUGGGCAAAUCCCAAAAAUAACGUCCCAGUUCGGACUGUAGUCUGCAACCCGACUACACGAAGCUGGAAUCGCUAGUAAUCGCGGAUCAGAAUGCCGCGGUGAAUACGUUCCCGGGC